rnacentral:rRNA from 1 species
CCUACGGGAGGCAGCAGUAGGGAAUAUUGCUCAAUGGUGGUAACCCUGAACCAGCAACGCCGCGUGCAGGAUGACGGUUUUCUGGUUUUUAACUCCUUUUUUUACAGCAGAUAAUUACGUUAUCUGACGCAUACUCACCGUCUCACUCCGUUCCAGCCUCCGCGGUUAUACGGAGGGUGCAAGCGUUACUCGGAAUAACUGGGCGUAAAGAGCGCGUAUGCGGGAUAGUAGGUCAGAUGUGAAAUCCUUUGGCUUAACCAUAGAACUGCAGUUGCAACUGGUAUUCUAGAGUAUGGGAGAGAUAGGCGGAAUUCGUGGUGUAGGGGUAAAAUGCGUAGAGAUCAAGAGGAAUACCGAUUGCGAAGGCAACAUGCGAGAACAUAACUGACGCUGAUGCGCGAAGGCGCGGGGAGCAAACAGGAUUAGAUACCCGAGUAGUC